GACUAGCAUACACCAUCAUCUUUGUACAUUGACGAGAACACGCAAACUCACCAGUAUGAUGGAACUCAUUUGUACAACACUCAAUACAGUGCGCUCUUAUAGAAAAAAGAAUGUGCGGGUAUUUAGUGAGUUUGAGUCCUGGGAAAACGUUAGUGCCGUAAAUGCAAAGGAGACAGUAAAUAUCCAAACAUUUGUGAAACUGUAGGAGUAAAUUUAAUUCUACAACAACAACCGUUUUUUAUUACACAAAUGGUUGUGGUUCGGGUGUCAACGUCGCGUUACCGCUCUUCCGAUGUUUGGUUGUUGGCAAUGCCGGUCGCCACAAAUACUAAUAUUAAAAAUGGAUAAUAGAUCGGACUUUAAUUAUUCUACAAACAUGUUGAAGUCACAGCUAUUGACAAUCCUGGCCCAUUUGUAUGCAGAACUAAUCUUAAUGACGAUUUUCACUCUCCUAAUGAA